rnacentral:tRNA from 1 species
UCCGGGAGGCUAGUGGUCUAGGACAUCGCCCUCUCACGGCGAAGAUCAUGGGUUCGACUCCCAUACGCGGUACCA